rnacentral:misc_RNA from 1 species
AUCAAUUAUACAACCGACACCACCACCGUGAGAUUCUCCAAACGUUGUAACGCGGAAAUAAUUUCCAAAUGUAUUACCAGCAGCCUGUAUCUCUAGUCGUUUGGGCUGUGAUCGGUGAGUAGGGAAUCGGAGGUUUGAAGAACAGAGCUUGGAUGGUUGCUGCCCGGAUCCGAAGCUUGAAAAUGGAGCCCCGAGAAACUGUUUGGUAAGCAUAGAUGAAGCCAUUUUCGUUCCUUCUCUACUGG